AACACGUGAAAUUCCGUCGGAAUCGGGAGGACCAUCUCCCAAGGCUAAAUACUCCCUAGUGACCGAUAGUGAACCAGUACCGUGAGGGAAAGGUGAAAAGCACCCCGGAAGGGGAGUGAAAGAGAUCCUGAAACCGUGUGCCUACAAGUAGUCAGAGCCCGUUAACGGGUGAUGGCGUGCCUUUUGUAGAAUGAACCGGCGAGUUACGAUCCCGUGCAAGGUUAAGCAGAAGAUGCGGAGCCGCAGCGAAAGCGAGUCUGAAUAGGGCGAAUUGAGUACGUGGUCGUAGACCCGAAACCAGGUGAUCUACCCAUGUCCAGGGUGAAGUUCAGGUAACACUGAAUGGAGGCCCGAACCCACGCACGUUGAAAAGUGCGGGGAUGAGGUGUGGGUAGGGGUGAAAUGCCAAUCGAACCUGGAGAUAGCUGGUUCUCUCCGAAAUAGCUUUAGGGCUAGCCUCAAGGUAAGAG
rnacentral:rRNA from 1 species